AUACGUAGGGGGCAAGCGUUAUCCGGAUUUACUGGGUGUAAAGGGAGCGUAGACGGAAUGGCAAGUCUGAUGUGAAAGGCCGGGGCUCAACCCCGGGACUGCAUUGGAAACUGUCAGGCUAGAGUGCAGGAGGGGUAAGCGGAAUUCCUAGUGUAGCGGUGAAAUGCGUAGAUAUUAGGAGGAACACCGGUGGCGAAGGCGGCUUACUGGACUGUAACUGACGUUGAGGCUCGAAAGCGUGGGGAGCAAACAGGAUUAGAUACCCUGGUAGUCCACGCCGUAAACGAUAAAUACUAGGUGUUGGGUUCCAAUAGGGAUUCGGUGCCGCAGCUAACGCAAUAAGUAUUCCACCUGGGGAGUACGUUCGCAAGAAUGAAACUCAAAUGAAUUGACGGGG
rnacentral:rRNA from 1 species